UGGGCAAUAUCUACACAGAUGAAUAAGCUUAAAACAUACAACAAAUCAAUACUAAGUCAUAUUAGAGGGUAGGAAUUCAUCAUUGGAAAGAUCCAGAAAGGCCUCUUUUUAGGAGGGAUCAUUAAUUAAACCUUGCUGAAAGGUAAUUCAUGACUUCAUUAUGCAUUUAUAUUUGUUAUUAUGUUCCUCUAGAACAGUGAUGGUGAACCUGUGGCAUGCAGAGCUCUCUCUGUGGACACACAGCCACCCCUGUCCCCCACCCCAAGACUUCAUUACUAGAAAGGCAGAGGGACUCGGACAGAGCUGCUCCCCUUAUCCCUAUCCCUCUCUACUGAUCCUGAUGACAUUUUUUCAUAUCACCCAGCCUUCUGCUCAGCAGCCAAUGGGAACACACAGGAGUAAGGACUUGGACUUUGUAAGAGGAAUAAUUCUACAGGAGACAGCCCUAAAGUUUACAAUGGAAGGUGACAUUUGCAAGUGGGUUGGACUUAUCACCAUUCUAUUUUUUCAAAAUGGAGAAAAAAGCAAAGAGAGUUUAAAUAACAUCUUUAAUAUCCCAGGACACUAUGGACAACUCGAGAAUGGAAACCAUAUCUGCUGACUUGAAGCCCUCUGUGUUGUUCAAGAAACCACACUCCUGGGGAGGCUACUCUGUGCUCCCAUUUGAGAUUAGUCCUAUAAUUUAUAGCAAGUUAUAAUAAAAGUAAAUACACAUAUGGGCA
rnacentral:lncRNA from 1 species